rnacentral:lncRNA from 1 species
ACCGAGAGUUCAGGCAACUACAGACAAGUAAGAAAACAUUUGGAGAUGUUCUUAGGCCUGGGAACAUGGACUUGUUUAACCCUGCCAAGGAGAAGUUGCCGGUGAGAUGUCUGGACUCAGACAACUGUUCACCACAGAAGCUAUAUGGAAGUCCCCAGCUCCUCUAGAAUCUAGGACCUUGAAUUUAGUUUCUCCCUAUGAUUAACUGGAUUCUGAAAAUGAAACGGUAGUGCUUAGAAUAAGUUUCUUUUGCCCGUUCUCAACAAAACUGGAGGAUAAACACGGCUCAAGUUGUUCCCUGUGUGUGUGUUCUCGGUAGAGCAAGAGUGAGCAAGUACAGGCUGUC